CCCUCGCGCUCUCAGCCCGCUCCAGGCCACGGAGACUGGGACGCGAGCCCUGGGCCCCCCACCCCCGGCCCCACGCGGCCACUGGGGCGCGCGUUCACACUCCCACACUACACAUCUCCAGGUCCACCCUGUCCCACACAUCAACAACCCCUCCCCACCGACACCACCUCCUGGCUCCUUUGCCAUCCCCGUGAGCUCUCCUUUCCGCGUCCCCCCACAACACGCUGGCACCCACAAGAUGUCAAGGGAAGUGUGUGUGUGUGUGUGUGUGUGUGUGUGUGUGUGUGUGUGUGUCGGGGAGGGGGGUCACAACAAGGUCUGUGCGGUUCCCUCCCGACGGUUUUCGAGCUCCUCUACCUCGAAAGUUACUUGGGAUUGAGUAAAGAGACCCUGUCCCCAAAUGCGGGAUCAGAGGACGCGAGGGGCAGAAAACCCCAACCUGGCUUCUCGCUGCACAGAGGCGCGCACAUCCCCAAAGGGCAGUGCGCGCGGCCGCCCCUGGGGGCCAGCCCUCUGGCGCCUCCAGGCCCCCUGCCCGGCCGGGGCCCUGGGCCGCUCAGGGGAACGUGGCCUGGAGAGGGGCGCGCGCCGCCGGGCCCAGAAGGGGGGCUGCUCCGGUCAGGGGUCACACUCGCCUCCAGCACCUCCGACCACCGUGACAGUGUCCCCAGGCAGCCCCAGUGCAUACACACCCGGGGGCAGGAAGUUUUUAUCCCCCCCUCCUUUUUUUCCCCCUGGAGCAGCGCAGGCGCAAGGGCUCCUGCAGCCUGCGAGUCCAGACGCGGGAGGCUCCUGUCUCCGCCGCCGCCGCCGCCGGAGCCGAGCCCAGCGUUCCGGGUUCCGGCCCCGCUCCCACGCCCGGCCCGGCCCGGCCCCGCGCGGCGGCCAGGACCUGGGUCUCCCUUCAGCGCCGCAUCCGAGGCGCUCCCGCCCGGCCCGGCUCUUACCUCCGGCCGCGCGGCUCCGGCCCCGGCCCGACGCGCAGAGAGCCCGGGGUCGCGGGUGGGCGCAGGAGGGCUGAUGGAGAGCGGACGGCGCCGGCGAGUAGCGGUGGCUGGGGCCGCUCGGGUCCUGGCCGGAGGAAACGGAUCCAGGUCCUCCUCCUCGCGUUCCUGCUCUCCGCCUUCUCCCCUCGUUCUUCCUCCUCCUCCUCCGCCGCCGCCGCCUCCCGGCAGCCCAGGGAGGAUGCCCGGGAGAGGGAAGUCGGUCCUCCUGCCUGUCAGCCUGUGCGGCUAUGCGCGGUGCGGCGCGGCUCUCAUCGAGGCGGCGGCGGCGGCGGCGGCUCCGGCAGCAUCGCCCCCGCCCUCUCCCCGCAGCCGCGGCGGCCGCGGGGUUGGGGCUGGCUCCGGGCUCGCGGCUCGGGCUCCGGGCGGGGGCUGCGCUCAGGCGCGGCGACCGCCGGGGCUGCGGACGGGCGCUGCGGAGCCGGGGCUGGGGCUGGAGCUGCGGCGAGAUCCGCGGUGGCGGGGACGGCGGCGGCGGCGGCGCGGGGGCUGGCGCGGCCGCGGCGCGGGGACCAUGCUCCCUUCUGGCUCGCUCCGCUCCGGGUACCGUCUGCUUUAG
ensembl:lncRNA